rnacentral:rRNA from 1 species
CGGAGCUUGCUCCACCGGAGAAAGAGGAGUGGCGAACGGGUGAGUAACACGUGGGUAACCUGCCCAUCAGAAGGGGAUAACACUUGGAAACAGGUGCUAAUACCGUAUAACAAUCGAAACCGCAUGGUUUUGAUUUGAAAGGCGCUUUCGGGUGUCGCUGAUGGAUGGACCCGCGGUGCAUUAGCUAGUUGGUGAGGUAACGGCUCACCAAGGCGACGAUGCAUAGCCGACCUGAGAGGGUGAUCGGCCACAUUGGGACUGAGACACGGCCCAAACUCCUACGGGAGGCAGCAGUAGGGAAUCUUCGGCAAUGGACGAAAGUCUGACCGAGCAACGCCGCGUGAGUGAAGAAGGUUUUCGGAUCGUAAAACUCUGUUGUUAGAGAAGAACAAGGAUGAGAGUAACUGUUCAUCCCUUGACGGUAUCUAACCAGAAAGCCACGGCUAACUACGUGCCAGCAGCCGCGGUAAUACGUAGGUGGCAAGCGUUGUCCGGAUUUAUUGGGCGUAAAGCGAGCGCAGGCGGUUUCUUAAGUCUGAUGUGAAAGCCCCCGGCUCAACCGGGGAGGGUCAUUGGAAACUGGGAGACUUGAGUGCAGAAGAGGAGAGUGGAAUUCCAUGUGUAGCGGUGAAAUGCGUAGAUAUAUGGAGGAACACCAGUGGCGAAGGCGGCUCUCUGGUCUGUAACUGACGCUGAGGCUCGAAAGCGUGGGGAGCAAACAGGAUUAGAUACCCUGGUAGUCCACGCCGUAAACGAUGAGUGCUAAGUGUUGGAGGGUUUCCGCCCUUCAGUGCUGCAGCUAACGCAUUAAGCACUCCGCCUGGGGAGUACGACCGCAAGGUUGAAACUCAAAGGAAUUGACGGGGGCCCGCACAAGCGGUGGAGCAUGUGGUUUAAUUCGAAGCAACGCGAAGAACCUUACCAGGUCUUGACAUCCUUUGACCACUCUAGAGAUAGAGCUUCCCCUUCGGGGGCAAAGUGACAGGUGGUGCAUGGUUGUCGUCAGCUCGUGUCGUGAGAUGUUGGGUUAAGUCCCGCAACGAGCGCAACCCUUAUUGUUAGUUGCCAUCAUUUAGUUGGGCACUCUAGCAAGACUGCCGGUGACAAACCGGA